rnacentral:tRNA from 1 species
GGCUCUGUGGCGCAAUGGAUAGCGCAUUGGACUUCUAGUAGACUUGAAGGAAUUCAAAGGUUGUGGGUUCGAGUCCCACCAGAGUCG